AACAAACAGAAACAUGUGACACCUCUCAAGGUCUUGGCCCAGAAUGUCACACUGUCAUCACCAAGUAGGGGCCUCUAGUGGGAGGAAUGCUAGUCACCUGGCAUUGGGGGGUGGGGAGGGAGGAUAGAUAAUGGGAAUAUCCCUGUAUGUGAGAGCAUGAACAACUGGUAACAGUGACCCAUCUGCCAUAUUCCCUUGUGUCCCUAACCUUUCUGAACCCAGGUUUUAAGGAUGGAUACCAGGAGUUGGCUGUGACAUGCCCCAACCAUGUGAAGCUGGCCUGAGGUGGAGCCCUUACCCAAAAAUCAGAAAAGAUUUGCUGAACCCUGCUCCAAAAGAUGGAAGCCAUGUGCUCUUCCUGGCCAGUCUCACCCACCUGCACACAGCCGCCCCCACCUGCUAGAACAGCCACAGUAACUGCGGUGGCAUCUUGGAAUACGGAGAAGAGCACAUCACAGCCUGUGCAUCAUACCUAUUCUGCACCAAGUGCCAUGUUCCUCCAAAAUUAGAGGCUUUUAAACAAAUGCAAAGAAAUGGAAAAUGAUUUUUUAAAUUAAAAAAUAAAAUGGGAAUGAUUUGAGUGUAGCAGAGUAUAGGGACCAAUGCAUAAAGGGUCUCAUGAGCCAAGCUUAAGAAGUAUGAACUUUAUUGUGUUCAUGGGGGAAGUUUGGAAGAAUUUUAAACAGGAAAGUAACAUGAUCCAUUUAUUAUUUUGCUUUUUAGAGACUGUAUGACUAGGUACAAUCUGGCUGAUAGAAAACAAUAUACUAAAGAGUGGUUGCACCAGGCUCUUCAGGUGCCCACCCACCCCAUCCCAGCUCUUCCUUGCUGAAAGAAUGCGUCCCCCUCUCUGAAGGCUGGAAAUGCCCAAGAAUCACUUUCCCAGCCUCCCUUACAGGUAGAACAUGGGCAUGUGACCCAGUCCUAGAUAACAGGACCUGGGGGGAAGGCUGCUGGGGAGAUCCUGAAAAAGGUUUUUCUCUUUAAUGAGAGGAUGUAUAAGAAGAAAUACCUUCCUUUUUUUUCCAAAUGUGGUCAUGUUUUCAUGUAAUGCCUGGUGUCACCAUCAUGAAAACGGACAAGACCAAUAAAUACAUCAGGGACGGCAGAGCAGAAAGAUGGAAGUGAUAACAUCAUAGAACCAUGGGAGCCACAUUCCCUCCAGAAAUAACAGAUGCUUAUUGUUUAAUCCACUUUUAUUUGGAAUCCUGUUACUUGUACUCUAAAGCAUCUCAACUGAAAGAAGCAUUAAUAAAGUCAUGAAUACAAAAUAAUGUGAUGUUAUAGAAAAUAAUGUAAAAUAGCCACUUUUUCCUCCAGAUAUUUAUUUGAAAUAAAUGAUCCUUUUCAAAUUGAGAAUAGUUACAAUAUUAACAGUUCACUGAACAUACUGGGAGAUCAAGCAAGAAUCUGUAAAACUUACGCAACGAUGUCUUGUCAUUUCUCUACCUGAAAUGAUUUUUUUCUCAUUUCUUUCAUUUGCAUAUUUUCCCUAAGAAACAAUGAAACCUUUCUCCCUGUUCGUCACCAGGCAGGAAUUCUCUUUUCUUGAAGGUCUCCCUUUCAUGAAGUACUGGCAGUCAAAGCAUAUUAUAUAAGAGGAAUCUCAGCACUGUGUAAACAAAAGAAUUACAAGUUCUGGUGCUUCAGGCAACAAUAUAGAAUCAUAGAAUUCUCAAGGUGAGAGGUACAUUACAGCUCAUUUGUAGUAACAGUAGAAAUUGAAUACAGAUAAAAACCAGAACAUUUGGUUAGAGUACAUUAAGCCCUUUAACAACAAUUAUCUCCUUUCUAAAUUUUUAUAUCCAGUAGUUGGCAACUUUCCAGCAAUUCCUUCUGGUUACAUCUGAAGGAUACUCCAUCCAGUCCCAAAUACACAUUGGGGUCCUCCAGCUACCACUGCCUUCCUUCAUUCCAGGAAUAUUCUUAAGGCUCUAUCAAGUGUUGCCACUGACAUUUAAUUAUCUAAUUCUUAUUCUCACUUUCCUCACAAGAUUUUCGGGAACUCGUGGCUUUUCCAAAUGCAAACAAUCUAAAAAAUACAGUGAGAAACACUACAUAUGAUAGCUGAAAUUGCCAGCAACAGACGGGAUGAAAGUAGAUGCUUUGGUUUAGCCAGUGUCUCCUUUCUCUCCCAUUCACUUCCACAAAUAUUGACUAAACACCCGCUGGGGCUGGAAGGGUCCUCGGAGACGUCUCGUUCUCGCCCUAACAGGUGCGGACACCCGCGCACCGACUGGCGCGGUGACCUGCCGGGGGGCAGUCUGGCCGGUGAGGACGC